rnacentral:misc_RNA from 1 species
UUCAUUGGUAGAAAUAGCUGGCGCGUAGUAUCAACGUGAGGAUCACGCUUCUUGGUAUCGAAGAGGCAUCUCGAUUGAUAGUAGUGUUUAUUUACUCUGAAUUAGUAAAAAAUGGUGAUACUGACAAGCUUCCCACCUCCUACAGAAGGAAUUCGGCAUAAACAAGAGAAUACAGUAGCGAAUAUCGAUGGCAGCACUUUAGGAAAUGGAACCCUCUAUGUUGCAGAAAGCCGGUUGUCAUGGAUGGGUGAAAAUGGACGAGGUUUCUCACUGGAAUACCCGGCAAUAAGUUUGCAUGCAGUCUCGCGAGACACAUCCAGUUUCCCUCAAGAAUGUCUGUAUUUGAUGGUGGAGGGCAAAUUAUCAGGCGAGGCACAGGACGGGUCAUCUGAAGGGGAGGAGGAAGACGACCAACCAAUCGGAGAAGUUCGCUUUGUACCAAGCGACAGAGGAACAUUGGACGCCAUGUUUCUUGCCAUGAAUGACUGCCAAGCCCUACAUCCGGACCCACAAGACUCCGACUCAGAAGCUGACGGAGAUGAAGACUUCUUCACAGGAGAAGAAGGUGAAGGUCAGUUGACAGAGCAAGGGGAAGCAACUCUACAGCAUCUAGACAAUCUGUUACAGGUGGGGCAAGGCGAUGGAGCUGAGGGGCAGCAGAACGGCCACCACAGGGGUGGUGGUGGAGGAGUUGGGGAGGAGAACAUGGAGUUGGGUCAGUUUGAGGACGCCGACAUGGAGCAGUGAGCGCGACAGGGGGGGCCUGACUCGCUGUCAGUCGGGGAGAUGCUACAGUGAUAGUGCCACCAUCUGUUCAGACAUCAGUCUGGAUGAGCUCUGGCAGCGAUUACUCUGAAGCCUUGUGUGAAAGCUGUGUAUGUGUGAUGUACGCCUGAAGAUAGUGUAUGUUCCAUAGAUGAAGAGAAUAAAGGACAGCAGCCUGUGUUACCGAGGUGGCUAGUCUGAAGACCUCGAGAGGUGUUCCUGAGACUGUCAGCCUGUUGUUGUCAGGACAACGGCUGCAUGUGUUCCCGAGGUGGCUAGUCUGAAGACCUCAGACGAACAGCUGCAGGUGUUUCUGAGAGUCUGGGCCUGUGUUCCUGAGAUGGUCAUUCUGAUGUUGUCAAGACAACGGCUGCAUGUCUUACCGAGGUGGCUAGUCUGAAGACCUCAGACGAACAGCUGCAGGUGUUCCUGAGACUGUGUUCCAGAGAUGGUCAUUCUGAUGUUGUCAGGACAACGGCUGCAUGUCUUACCGAGGUGGCUAGUCUGAAGACCUCAAGAGAGGUGUUCCUGAGACUGUGUUCCUGAGAUGGUCAUUCUGAUGUUGUCAGGACAACGGCUGCAUGUGUUACCGAGGUGGCUAGUCUGAAGACCUCAGACGAACAGCUGCAGGUGUUUCUGAGAUGGUCGGGGCGGUCGGGUAGCCUAGUGGUUAAAGCGUUCGCUUGUCACCCCGAAGACCCUGGUUCGAUUCCCGACAUGGGUACAAUGUGUGAAGCCCAUUUCUGGUGUCCCCCGCCGUGAUAUUGCUGGAAUAUUGCUAAAAGCGGUGUAAAACCAAACUCACUCACUCACUCACUCUGAGAUGGUCAUUGUGAUGUUGUCAAGACAACGGCUGCAUGUGUUACCGAGGUGGCUAGUCUGUGGACAUCAUGAACUCCUGUUUUAGAUACCCUUUAUAUCAGCAAUACAUUUUAUGCAGUAAUGUAAAAUUAAGCGUUUUAGGCUCUUCUUCUAUAGUGGUCCUGUAACCAGUAUAAAUACAAGUCACCUGUGUACACCCGGAUUAGAAUAGAUCUUCAACAACCCAUGCUUGCUGUGAAAGGCGACUAUGCUUGUAUUAAGAGGCAACUAAUGGGAUCAGGUGGUCAGGCUAGCUGACACUGUUGAUGCAUUUCAUCUUAUCCCAAUGGCAUAGAUCAAUGCUUCUGGUAUCAAUCACUGGAUUGUCUGCUCCAGACUCAAUUGUUUUCAGACUACCACCAUAAAGCUGGAAUAUUGCUGAGUGCACCAUUAAAAACAAUAAACAAACAAAUACGAGUCACCUAGACCAAGCCAUUAUAUUAUGUGACUAUAUAGAUAUGAAUUGGGAAAUUGUUCAUUCACAUUUGAGAUUUAUAUUCUGUCUUUUGGUACAGACUUUGAGAUGAAUAUUGGCCUUGUAGCUGGUCUAGAUUUAAGACUGAUCGUGAUGUAUUUGAAACAAACUACUUCACAAUCCACUUUGUAUCAAAGACUACCGUAGUCGACGUAAUGAGCACCCCAUUCUAAGCGCCCACGGCGAUAUUUGCUAAUAUAUUGGCUAGUGAACAAUCCCAAUUAGCACACCUUCCGAUUGAUCAAUGUACACAAGACAGUUAUUUGCGAAUAAUACAGGCUAUCAUUUCAGGCUGUCAGCAUUAACCACGAAAUCUUUCAACACUGUUGGGUUUUUUUCACCGAAAGUGUUUUCUAAUAAGAGGUCCCUAUUUCUAAUUUUGAGAGUGCCCUGGGCGCUUAUUAUGUGGAAUACGGUAUUUGUAUUUGGAAUGGUUUGUUUAUUCCUUAAGACCACUGGGUAAAUUUUGUCUUGCUCAUGGCCACAGGGGCGGUUGGGUAGCCUACAGGUUAAAGCGUUAGCUCGUCACACUGCUGAAAACCUGGGUUCGAUUCCCUAAUCAAUCAAGGGACAAUGUGUGAAGCCCAUUUGUGGUUUCCCCAACUGUGAAAUUGCUGGAAUAUUGCUAAAACCAUACUCACUCACUCGUGGCCACAGAAUGCACACCCCUAGGGCAUGGCCAAGACAUGGUGGCGUUGUCUGUUGUGCACCCCACUGGGGUAUAGCCAGAAUGUCUGGGACAAAAACAUUUACUGACAGCAGCAUUGAACAAUGAAAUUUCAUCAGUUGAUGUCUCAGAUUAAUAUUAUCUUAACAUUCAGCAUGGUUUGUAAGGGAUGUGUUGCCUGAAUGUGAUUGUAACAAAUACAAUGUUAAUGCGCGACUUCUUGAGCUGUUAAGCAGUUUUGAAACUUGAAAAUACUUCAAAGUAGAAAUGUUUUGAUUUCUCAAUGUUAGCUCACUAAUAACUCCAUUGAGUCAAAUAAGAUGUGUUUAAUUAGCUAGCGGCUUGACAAGUGUACGUGUAAAGUUUAUGUACACACACUUAAUAUUUUUUUUGUUUUUUACAAGCAUUAUUUGUGCAACUGAACUCUGAUCUUCGAGUGAAUCUUUAAAAUAUGUUGCGUUUUGUUGGAUUUGUAGUAUGUUGUGACACUGCUGUUAUGAAUUAUGAUUUUAUUUCAAACUUGUGCACUCAGCUGGUCAGACUAGGAAGAGGGGCGGUUGAAUGUGAUUUUAUGUAUGCUUCAGUAACUUGUUAGAGAUGUUUGUUUUCAAGGAUUUGUGAAACACAAUGAGAAUCUGAUGAGAGACUGACUACACUAGGAGCUAUAGUGCUGUGUAAAUAUUUGUCAUGUGUAUCAUUCAUUUCCAGGCAUUGAGUGUAAAUAAAGUCAUAUUUUCGUU